rnacentral:tRNA from 2 species
CGGGGCGUAGCGCAGUCUGGUAGCGCACCUGCUUUGGGAGCAGGGGGUCGUUGGUUCGAAUCCAGCCGCCCCGACCA